rnacentral:rRNA from 1 species
CGGUAAUUCCAGCUCCAAUAGCGUAUAUUAAAGUUGUUGUGGUUAAAAAGCUCGUAGUUGGAUCUCAGUCCAUUGUUUGGUGGUCUAUCACAAUGCGUGUUUACUAUCGUAACUGGACACACUACCGUUUAUCGUCUAGUGGUGCUCUUCACCGAGUGUCACUAGUGAUCGGUACGUUUACUUUGAAAAAAUUAGAGUGCUCAAAGCGGUCUUUACACGAUCGAAUAAUGUUGCAUGGAAUAAUGAAAUAGGACUUUGGUUCUAUUUUGUUGGUCUUCGGAACCAAGGUAAUGAUUAAGAGGGACAGACGGGGGCAUUAGUAUUGCGACGCUAGAGGUGAAAUUCUUGGACCGUCGCAAGACUAACUAAAGCGAAAGCAUUUGCCAAGAAUGUUUUCAUUAAUCAAGAACGAAAGUUAGAGGUUCGAAGGCGAUCAGAUACCGCCCUAGUUCUAACCAUAAACGAUGCCAACCAGCAAUCAGCCUGUGUUCUCUUGAUGACACGGCUGGCGGCUUCCGGGAAACCAAAGUCUUUCGGUUCCAGGGGAAGUAUGGUUGCAAAGCUGAAACUUAAAGGAAUUGACGGAAGGGCACCACCAGGAGUGGAGCCUGCGGCUUAAUUUGACUCAACACGGGGAAACUCACCCGGCCCGGACACUGUGAGGAUUGACAGGUUGAAGCCCUUUCUUGAUUCAGUGGGUGGUGGUGCAUGGCCGUUCUUAGUUGGUGGAGUGAUUUGUCUGGUUAAUUCCGAUAACGAACGAGACUCUAGCCUAUUACGAAGACUGAGGCAUCCUUCGUGCUGCCUCAGCGCUUCCUAGAGGGACAGACGGCGUUUCAGCCGUAUGAGAAAGAGCAAUAACAGGUCUGUGAUGCCCUUAGAUGUCCGGGGCCGCACGCGCGCUACACUGAAGAGAUCAGCGUGUAUGUGCAUCCUACUCCGAAAUGAGCGGGAAACCGAGUGAACC